AUGCUGGCGAACACCGGAGACGGAGGCGCUGUGAACUGCAGCGGCGGGCAUGGCAGCAAGGUGGACUCGCCGGCCAACGGGGCGCCAUGGCAAGGAGGCGGAGCAGAGGAACGGAUAGCAGGGGAACGAAGGAGAGGGAGGUGGCUCAGGCGCUGCUCUCCUUCGCUGAUGGCGCGUCGAAGGAGGAGGGGAUCGAGAGGGGCACGAUCGAUGGAGAGGGAGAGAACUGGAUCGGGCAGCGUGUGCGCUCUGCCUCUCACUAGCGGCGUUGGAGGGAGGAUGCGAGGGAGAGGAGUGGGAUCGAGGGAGAUGGUAGCGAUCGGCUAG
rnacentral:rRNA from 1 species